rnacentral:misc_RNA from 1 species
ACCUGCCUGACUAGCCCGUUGGCGCAAUUUAUAAUGACCCUGCUUUCUGCUCUGUCUGGGAGUCUGGGUGUAAUAUAUAUAUUUAUUUAUAUAGGUAUUAUUUAUAAGUAUGUUUAUAAAAAAAUGUAGCUAUACUAGUCGGCUGUUACCUAUAACACAAACAUUAUAUGUUUGAUGCAGAAAAUUUCAAUCUCAACGAUUUUUUAUAUUUAUUUAUCUGUAGAAUACCAACAAAGUAUACGCCAUAUUUCAAGAACAUCAUACAAAAACAGUAGGGUCGGAGUAUAACUUUAAUUAUAGGUGAAAACUACUAAACUUGACUUACAUACACUAUUACCAUACUUAAAUAAACAUACACAUGGCUAGAACUUAAGAUUGUGUUUUACAUUACAAUCAGCUAUAAUAAAAGAUGAAAAUUAAAAAAAUCGAAGAAUUAAAGAGAAACAAUACUUGUAUGGGACAGUCUAUGGUUGAGUGAGAGAUGACAUGUGAGGGAAGGUUAUGAGGGAAACCAAACCCAAUGAAAGUCGAUCUAACACUCUAUGAAUCUUGUCAACAGCAAGGCUGCAUUCUCUGUAUGAAUCCUCGAAGGACCAAAAAAACUGUAUGGUACAGUCUGUGUGAGUGAGAGACGACAUGUGAGGGAAGGUUAUGAGGGAAACCAAACCCAAUGAAAGUCGAUCUAACACU